CAGCGGGCUCGGGUCGUCGGGCCGCGAGGACAGGGAAGACCAGAGCACCAGGAGCCCCAGGAAGCUUCCCACCACCAGCAAACUGCGGCUCCUUAAGGAGGUGGAUUUGUAACCGAAAGGCCCAGGUGAGAUGUGCAAAUACCAAAGAACUAAAGAGCGUUCCCUUGGAAAGACGGUAUUCCCUUUUCUCUUGAGCUCAUUAGAAAGCCAAGUCGGCUAGCUAAGACACCAUACCAUCCUUGUUGAUGAACUUGUAAGUUUCUACUCCGGGGAAAGCGAAUUUCGGGUUUUUGAAACAUUAUACACACGCACCAUUGCUUCCCUCACAGCUUGAUUUUUUUCCAGGAAAGGAUAUUGGCAAAUGUUUAGCUACACGCCUCUCCCUUGUUCAUUGUGCCAAAGAUGUCAAUCACUUUAUAUCACAGUCUACAGUGUGUGCCAUACUCCUAAACUAUCCAAUUUGUUGAACAAAUGCUUUUUGAUGGCAGGUUUUAGGACGGUGUAAAUUGACCUCUUUAAUCCUAGUAUUGCCUUGUCUGAGUCUAUUUUGCUUUAAAAACAAGUGAAACUUGGUUAUUUAGUUCACCGGGGUGAUCAGCAUUAUCAUAUGUACUUGCCUUGAGCCAGAGAUAGGUUUCCAUUAUUAGGAAAAUGGGAAGCUGACCCUUUAGGACUGUGAGCAUAGAUGGGCGGAUGCGUGGUGGAGAAGUGGUCCUCAUCACUGAAGUGAUGGGAGCCGCCCCUCGGCUGUCAGUAUUCCGAGGAGACCCUGCCACCACAACUUGAAAUAUGUUUGAAAGGCCAAAAAGAUAGAAACUGAUGAACAGGUCUACGGUUGUAAAAAGCCCACGUACCUCUGAGUUCUGAACAUUGUUUAAGAGAAACUGAAAGUAUACCUUAAAAUACAUGCUUUUCACCACAUUUGCUGGCUGGCAGGCAGCCUUUGUAGAGAACUCUUUAGAAAAUGAGAAGCUACAUUAAAUGAUUGGGUCAAGAAAAGUCACACUUAGCCUCUCUGAGCUUAGAGCCCUUAUCUGCCAAAAUCAUGAUGAUAAUACUUUACAAUAUUGUCAGAAGGAAUAAUGGGGGCCAAAUGCACAUGAAAAUACAAAGCACAGAUAAUGUGCUGGGGUAAGUCGUAGUGAUUAUGGGUAUAAUUCUUGUGAACGCCACAGUCAUUACUGUAUAUAGGGAUUGUUGCUCCGAGCUAUUGCUGACAUGUCGAUCCCUGAGUAAUGUCACUGAAGAAGCGAAUACCCCCCCUCCACUGUGCUAAUGGGGGAGGUACAGAGUAUGGACAACAAGGCAGUGGUCUCUGACAGGUUAUGAAGUCACAAGUCAAUGGUAGCAUGGUGCCUUCACCUCCGAGGCCAGCCGGGGCCUGAGAAGUAAAAUCACAAGGGAAUAGCAUUUCUGAGCAGGCAGUAUAUGCAGAAGGAUUCAUGUCAUUUAAGUUUCGUGUUGCCGGAGACUGGUGUUCGCUGUUCUUAGAAUUCGGAGCAGGUUUUCUCAUCUUGCCAACACGCACACCGUCCUUGCCAAACAAUACAAUCGCCUCAUGUUUAUUAUAUAAAUGCUUUCAGGAGUCCACAGGUCAGAACCUAAAGGUUUGGUGGUUUUUAAAAGUCGUCCCCACGUGAACUCUGCUGAAAGAGGAAACCCUCACAAGGAACCAAGCCCACCCUUGGGCUGCACGCCCCUGGGGCUUUCAGCAUGCCCCCUCAUCCUGUACCCAAGCUGGAGGUCUGUUUCUAAAUGCCACUGCUUGCCCUCAGGCCUUUGUACAGGGGUUUCUUUUCACCUGCACUAUCUUCUGACACCUCAACCUUAAGCUUCAAUGUCAGUUACAAAAGCUUUUUUCUAAACUCUUAUCAUGGACUCUACACCAAGAUAUUGGCCAGGUACGCUGCCUUCCACUCCAUUUCUCCCUAAUAAUUACUACUAUGUUUUGAUUGCUUAAUUUUCACUUGCAAGUAAAAAGUAACAUGAUGCCAGAGACUCGUCUAUGGAGAGUUUAUUAUAUUCUUGUAGCUGAUGUGUAAGAAGGUUUUUAAUAUUCUUUUGGAGGAACACUGAGUAAAUAACUGGAUUAAAGAUACAAAGGGAAAACAGAGCUUAGAAGAGGGCUUAGGAGCAUGUCAGUUUUGAUUGUUCUUUACCUAGAAGCUGCUUUUCCAAGAACAAAAUCUUGGAGGUUUUAUUUCAUUAGGUCAGUGAUUGUCUUACAGUAGUUGGUAUUUUGGUAAGCUGUUGUUUGUCUAUUGAUAGUCUACUGAGAGUACCUAGAUACUCCAUUGAUAGUCUACUGCAGCUACUUGAACUAAGAAAGUCAUAGUUUCAACUUAAAUUCAGAUCCCCCCCCAACACAGAUUACUAGUUCUGUCAUAAAAUUAAUAAUACUUGUAUUGUGCUCAUUCGGAAUGAAAACCUUGUCAAGGGCUGCCAUUCGAUGAGAUUAGUGAUCUCCUGUAGUGUUUUGAAGGCUAAAAUGCUGAUUUAAAGCCUCCUUUGAUUUCAUACUGUAGAAUACUACCUCUUCAUAGCUGGUUAGUCUCUGGAACACCUAUAAUUCAGAGGCUCUUCUGAUUUAGCCAUUUAUUUAAAAGGUCAUUGAAACACAUUUCGUCUCUCUUCAUUGGAACCCCACCACUAGCUCUCUGUUCCUCCUAGAAUUAAUCCUGAACGCCUUGGUUUGUCACAGAAGACUUCUGGGAGGAGGCAUAGCUUUGUAACUACUUGGUUACAAGGCUUUUCCAGUUGAAGUUACAGCCAUGUCCAUUUCUACUUCCAAAAUAGCUCAAAUUCCUUCUCACUUCUAGACUUUUGUGCAUAUCUCCUUUUUCCAGAAUACUCUUGGUGUUUUUUUACACCAACUGGCCCCAUUAAACUCUAUAAUUAUUCAAAUUUCUGUUCAUACACCAUAUUUUUUUUCCAGAACUUUUACUUGCCAAGGCCCUCCACUUCCUUGCUAGGUUGGGAAUUUUGCUUCCUGUAAGAGUGACUUGGAAGGUCCCGUUCUGAACAGAGCUCAGCCUUUGUAUUUGCUCAACUGUCACCUUAAUUAGACCAAGUUUUUAAAGGGGACGACUGUGUUGUCGUUUAGCAUUGCGUUCCUAGGAUGUUGACAAUGCCUUGCACAGAAGACGUGUUCAGUACAUGAGAGUGGACGGGAGAGAGUGUGUCUCAUGCAUUCACUGGUAAAACACCGAAAGAUUUGCACACAUCCUGUAAUAUAAUCAACUAAUAUCUUAAAAGACAAUUAUAUCUGAAUAUUUGCAAAAUAUUUUGUUAAAUCAAUUUUUUUUUUCUCAUUUAAAGAGUUGGGAAAGAAGAGAACAAUGUUCUAUACCUUAUCCAACCAACGUGCAUACUAUCAUUCCGAGAUAGUUCAUUCAAACUAACAAUCUGCUUGCUAAAAUGAAUAUAAGUUACCCAGAACCUGGGGCCUGCAAAAUGGAAAAAGGAGCCUGGUUUUUACUGAUGCUGAUAAUCAUAACUUUUUUUUUUUUUUUUUUUUUUUUAUGAAAUGGGUGGAAUGGAAAGAAACUUACAGUAAAAGGGCAGAGAACCCACCCUACCAUUUGGAGCUAGAGGUUUGACUAGAUUUAAGUUUCUAAUGUCCUUUUACAGAUUGGCUGAAGACUCAGGUUCUCAGCAGAAUGGUUAAGUGAUCAGAAAGUCUUCACAACUGAACUUUGUCAAGGUAUUACUGUAAAUCCUGUUCCAGUGUGUGCAUAUAAACGCCUGCGUCGGCGAGCAGACAAGUAGCUUCAGACAGCUGUCAGUGUAUUAUCGCAUCCUCCAGAGAUCUUGCUUAGUCGGCUGUGCCCUGAACCUCCCUGUCUUUAGUGGGCAGAUCUGAUACCUAUAAGACAAACCAGUUUCUGUCUUGUUAAUACCGGUAAUCUCUUAGACACAGGGUGCAACCGUUCCACAGUGAGUAGAUUGGAAAGAAACACUGUCAGUAAAAGGGCCAGAGAAUCCACACUCACAGUUUGUAAAAUGAGAGAUAUGGCUAGGCCAUAUUGGGCAGAGCCUUGAUAUUCAGGGUCUCUGGAGGGAUGGGAAGGCUGUUGAGACUGGGAGGAGUGGGAGGGUCAAUUCUGGCUCCUCUACAAGAGCUGAUGGGAACAAUAGAGAAGUAUUUCACACUUAGCAACGUUUGUGAUUAGUUUUAACAAGAGUGAGGUAUUCUUAGUAAUGAACCAUUCCUAUAAGCCUUUUUAGACAUUUCAGAGGAGAUAAACAGAGCUGAAUACAAAUAAAGAAAUCUGAAGCCAGGCUGCAGAGAGAUUCUGCAGGAAGAUUAUCCCAAAUCCAGGAAUUAGAGGCUGGACAGGAACUCAUUAUCUGUCGAUCCAACCCUUCUGCUUCCCGAUGCUCUGCUGCAUCUCACUGGGGUACAGAAAUCUCCUCUUUUCUCCAGCUAUUUUCUAACAACUGAACAGUGAACAAGUAUAUUUUCCCUCUUAUUUGAACACACGGCUCUAUAUUAAAUGACUGUUUGGAGAGUCACACCAGGGACUUGGGCAGCAAAAGUACUGCUCUUCCAGGGAGUUCACCAUACUGUCAUUUAGAUAAAGGUGCCUUUCUGGAAUAUUGCAAAGAAUUUCAAAAUUUGAAUUUUAAUUACAUUUCUUUUGUGGAGAGCAGUCUUUGAGGAUUUGGCCUUUUGGGAUGGCUUCUGUUUCAGCACACCAUAGAAAACAAUUUUUAACAAACCGAGUCCUUCUCUGUGAUCUUUUAUUGUAUAUUAAUAGCUAUUUCUAUUUACUCAAAGCACUUUUUUGUGCGUGUAUCACGUGUUGGCCACUGUUCAAGACACAGGGGAUAUAGCAAUAAACUAAAAGAACAAUAAUCCCAGUCCUCGUGGAGUCAGAUAAUAAAUUGCGUGUAUAAAUCAUUAUAUGUUGUUACCAAAUAAACUGCUGCCUCACUCGUGUGCCAAGAGUCUAUGAAGAUUGACUCACAGACUUAGAGAGUACCUUAGAAGGUGUCUAUGAUGGAGAGAAACAGCCAAGGAGUGUAAUUUGGAAUGCUGGAUGGGCAUGAAGAGAGGUUUGUAUUUUAAACAGCUGGAGUAGAUCUCCUUGAGAAGAUGACAUUUGAACAAGCCCUGAAUGGGGGAUUUGGGACAGAGCUAAAUAAGAAGAGAUAGCACCGGGGUUGGGGCUUUAGCUCAGUGGUAGAGCGUGUACCUAGCAAGCACAAAGCCCUGGGUUCUGUCCUCAGCUCUGAAAAAGAAGAAGAGAUAGCAUCAAGCACAAGGAACAGUAUGUGAAGGCCCUAGGGCAGGAGUGUUUCUUCUCACCAUGGCAUGGGAAGCCUUAGGAGGUUUACUGCGAGGUGGUGUGAUUUAACAUACCUAAAUCAGACCACAGCCUCUGGCUUCUGGGUUGGAUAUGCAAAGCAGCAAAGCUAAAA